rnacentral:rRNA from 1 species
GACGAACGCUGGCGGCGUGCUUAACACAUGCAAGUCGAACGGAAAGGCCCUGCUUUUGUGGGGUGCUCGAGUGGCGAACGGGUGAGUAACACGUGAGUAACCUGCCCUUGACUUUGGGAUAACUUCAGGAAACUGGGGCUAAUACCGGAUAGGAGCUCCUGCUGCAUGGUGGGGGUUGGAAAGUUUCGGCGGUUGGGGAUGGACUCGCGGCUUAUCAGCUUGUUGGUGGGGUAGUGGCUUACCAAGGCUUUGACGGGUAGCCGGCCUGAGAGGGUGACAGGCCACAUUGGGACUGAGAUACGGCCCAGACUCCUACGGGAGGCAGAAGUGGGGAAUAUUGCACAAUGGGCGGAAGCCUGAUGCAGCAACGCCGCGUGCGGGAUGACGGCCUUCGGGUUGUAAAGCGAUUUAGCCUGCGACGAAGCGUGAGUGACGGUAAUGGGUAAAGAAGCCCCGGCUAACUACGUG